UGCUAAUUAAAUUUAAAACAUUUAAGUCUUUGACAUUACACUGAUGUUACCACAGUAAUGAUAAAUCAAGCUAAAAUAUAAGAUUAGUUAUUAAUAUAAUAAAAUAAAACAUAAUUAUUAAAAUGGCUGAAAUUAUUAUUAUAAAAGAUUUUUAAAGAUUCAUAUAAACUAGUUGAUGACUGACAUAAUAUAUCCCAUCAAAAGUAAUAGUAUCAUCAUGGAGGAUCACAUGGUAAAGCAGUCUCUUGCUAUCUUGGAGGAAUGGUCCCACAUCUCCAGUUUUACAGGACAGUCCAAGCCCACAUCUCUCCUUUUUAGGUGGUCUGAAUCCAGUUUGUUGAAUCCUAUUCUUCAUUCUUUUCAAUGACAUCAUCACAGAUGAUGCCCAAUCUAAGAUGGGUUUAUAAAGUGCCUGCUAUGAACUGUAUCUCAUCAAAAUCAGAAAUGGAAGCAUUCUAUGAUGUACAAUUCAAUAACUUCAUAAGUGUAUUCAAUAGAGAUAUAAUUAUUUGGAAAAAUUUAUCAGUAUGCUAUAAUCUAUCAAUCUAUGCUAAUUUCAUAAGGUGGGUAAUUUUGCAGAAAUGAUAUUGUUUGUAUUUUUAUACAUGCUGUAUUUUUUAUAACUUUUUAUGAAAUAUUUUUAAAAUAUUACAGUUGAUAUCAAAAUAAUAAUACAAUAAAAGAUUG
rnacentral:lncRNA from 1 species